UACGAAGGGGGCUAGCGUUGCUCGGAAUCACUGGGCGUAAAGGGUGCGUAGGCGGGUCUUUUAAGUCAGGGGUGAAUCCUGGAGCUCAACUCCAGAACUGCCUUUGAUACUGAAGAUCUUGAGUUCGGGAGAGGUGAGUGGAACUGCGAGUGUAGAGGUGAAAUUCGUAGAUAUUCGCAAGAACACCAGUGGCGAAGGCGGCUCACUGGCCCGAUACUGACGCUGAGGCACGAAAGCGUGGGGAGCAAACAGG
rnacentral:rRNA from 1 species